UAUUUUCGUAUUUUAUUAGUUGCUGGCUUGUUUGAUUGUAUUUAGCUAGUGUAGUGACCCAUGAUGUUGUUGGAUCAUGGGUAGUUACAUGAUCUCAUUUGUGAGGAUCAUGGGUAGUUGUAUUGGGGCUAUAUAUGGCACCCCCUUAUCUACUGUUUGGCAGAAUUUUUGGAUUAAAAAAAAGACUUUGCUUUGGCAUCUGGUGGACUCCAAACUCCUCCCUCCUCCUUCCCCUUCUUAAUUUCUUCUCUAAAUCAGCUGUCCCGCACCAGUUUGGUAUCAGAGCACUGUUGGGCUUUGCCUCUGUGCCAACGCCCCGAUCCGUGAUCCUUUCCCUUCCUUUUCUUUCACUGCCAUUUUCUGGGCCGCAGU
rnacentral:lncRNA from 1 species